UUCGUGUCUGUCCAUUGCUACUGUUAGAAUGUUCUUAGGCUCUCUUUCUUUUAGAUUUGAAUCUCUUUUAGUUUGGUAGGUUCUUUUUAGGUUGUAUUCUGUCAAGUCUUAGAUUUUAUAGGUUGUAUAUAGUUUUAGGUCAUUAUGUUAGACAUUUCUAGGUUCUUUUUGAGUUCUAUUUCAUUGGUUUUCUCAAUUCUUUGCUGAUUUUAUUCAUUUCUUAGUUGUAUUUCUCUUAAUUGAAUUGUUAAUGUUAUUCUUUGCUUUAGAUUCAAGUAGAG
rnacentral:lncRNA from 1 species